rnacentral:rRNA from 1 species
CGCAUCUGUGCAUGCAGCAUAUCAAUAAGCGGAGGAAAAGAAACUAACAAGGAUUCCCUUAGUAACGGCGAGUGAAGCGGGAAUAGCUCAAAUUUGAAAUCUUCAAGGUUUUACCUUGACGAAUUGUAGUUUAAAGAAGUGUUUUCUGUUGAAGUUUUGGUAAAAGUUCUUUGGAAUAGGACAUCAUAGAGGGUGAGAAUCCCGUAUUUGACCAUUAUUUUCAGCUGUGUGAUACACUUUCAAAGAGUCGGAUUGUUUGGGAAUGCAGUCCAAAAUGGGUGGUAAAUUUCAUCUAAAGCUAAAUAUUGGCGAGAGACCGAUAGCGAACAAGUACCGUGAGGGAAAGAUGAAAAGAACUUUGAAAAGAGAGUUAAACAGUACGUGAAAUUGUCAAAAGGGAAGCGUUUGACACCAGUGUUGUUUUCUCGAAAAUCAAUUAAAAAGAGUUAGAUUUUGUUGUGUAUUGACCUUAACAGCUUGCAUUUCAAUUUUCUUGCUUUUUUUAAUGCACUUUUCGUUUAACAAGUCAACAUCAGUUUCUUUUGUUGUAAAAAGGUCAUUGGAAGGUGGCUUUCUUUUCGGAGAAAGUGUUUAUAGCCUUUGACUCCUGCAAUCGGAGAGACUGAGGUCUGCAGCGUAGAUCCUUCGGGGUUAGAUACACUUGUGCUAAGUUAUAGCUUUUUAUAGACAACUUGUUGACUAUGAUUAGUCUUGUAGCUUACUCGCUUAUGCUAUUUUACCUACGCUUAGGAUGUUGACGCGCGUGUGUGCGUG